GUCGACUAAAGGCGUCGGACGAGGAGCCGGGCGAGGCGAGGUGAGUACCUGGCAACUCGCCUGGCCGAGGCUACGCGGCUGAGAAGAGGCGAUCAACCCCAGAGCUUAAAGGCGACAGGUGAUAGGGCGUUGAGGCGCCACCCCAGACAAACUAACUGUAAUUUUAGGCUUUGUUUUUAAAAUUUGUUCUGAAUGGCAUAAAAAAGAAAACUUAAAGUAUCAGUCUUACUGGCCCCAACAGAGAAAGAUUGCAAGGAGAACAUAGCAGUCACCAACCAGCACCGGGAAUAGCGUCCUCUCUCUCUCUUUGUCGCUCUCUCUCUCUCUCAUCUUCACA
rnacentral:misc_RNA from 1 species